UUUAUUCAUGGGUCAGAUGAUUCAAUAUUGUUAGAUGUCAUUCCAAAGAAAUGAAAGCCUAUGUCCAUAAAAACACUUGUACACAAAUGCUCAUAGCUGCUUUACUUAUACUGGCCAAACUCUGAACAGCCCAAAUGUCCAUCAACAGGUGAAUGGAUAAAUAAACUGUGGUAAAGCCAUAUGGUGGAAUACUACUUGGCAAUAAAAAGCAAUGAAAUAGUGAGACACAUGAUAUGGAUGAAUCUCAAAUAAUUACACUAAGUGAAAUAAGCCAGAUCCUCUCCCGACCAAAGAGUGCAUGCUGUAUGAAUCCAUUUAUACACAAUUACAGAAAAUGAAAACAAUUCUAUUUUGUCAGAAAGUGACCCAUAGUUGCCUGGGUUAGGGGCACAGGGAGAGAGAGGAGGGAGGGAUUACAAAGGGGCAUUAAGAAGUUUUGGGGGAGGCUGGGCAUAGUGGCUCACGCCUGUAAUCCUGACACUCAGGGAGACCAAGGUGGGUGGAUCACUUGAGACCAGGAGUUCAAGACCAGCCUGGCCAACAGAGCAAAACCCUGCCUCUACUAAAAAUACACACACACACACACACACACAAAAUUAGCUGGAUGUGGUGGCAUGCACCUGUAGUCCCAGCUGCUCAGGAGGCUAAGGUACGAGAAUCACCUGAACCUGGGAGGCAGAGGUUGGUGGGCCGAGAUUGCACCACUGUACUCCAGCCUCGGUGACAGAGCAAGACUCUGUCUCAAAAAAAAAAAGUAGCUUUGGUGGGUGAUGAAUAUAUUUACAAUUUUGAUUGUGGUUAUGGUUUUAUGUGUAUAUACAUUCCAAGAUUGAUCACACUGUAUAUACUUUCAACAUGCAGCUUAAUGUAUGGUAAUUAUAUUUCCGUCAAGUUAUUAGAUUAAAAAGCAUAUGACAGAUCUAUAUAACACUAAAUUGAAAAGACAACUGUUAAGAGGAAAAGGCAAGUCUCAACACUGUAUUCCUAGUUUUGCAAAAGAAUGUGUAUAUUGUAUGAGAAUAUGCAAUAAAGGAUUACAACACUAUAUACCAACCGUU
rnacentral:lncRNA from 1 species